ensembl:lncRNA
GGGCUCUGUGCCCUGCGAGUGGGAGAGUGAACCUGCACAACUUGGGGGAGAGUAUUUCAGUUUGCAUCCCCUCUUGGUGUGAUUCGUGGCUCUUGCUCAGGCUGGGAUAAAUCUGUUGGUAGGAAAUGUGCCUCAUUUCUAGGAGGGAGGAUGACACGAUCCAUGUACUAGAAGUCUUUCAAUCAAAAGCUGUGAUAUGGGAGCACCGUCAUGCAAAGACAUGCUGCCAUCCAUUUCAGCAGCACCAAAGUGUGAUGAUUCUCAGGUACCAAGCAGGACAACAUACCCUCUGAGGCUGUCUGCAGGAUGAAAGGAG